GAUGAACGCUGGCGGCGUGCCUAAUACAUGCAAGUCGAGCGGACGGACGAGAAGCUUGUUUCGCUCAUGUUAGCGGCGGACGGGAGAGUAACACGUGGAUCCCCUACCUGUAAGUCUGGGAUAAUUUCGGGACACCGGCGCUUAUCCCGGAUAAUAUCUUGAUGCGCAUGGUUGAAAAGUGAAAGACGGUCUUGCUGUCUGUUCUAGCUGGUUCCGCGCUGCAUUAGCUAGUAGGUAAGGUACCGGCUUACCAAGGCAACGAUGCAUAACCGAAAUGAGAGGGUGAUCGGCCACACUGGAAGUGAGACACGGUACAGAGUCCCAGGGGAGGCAGCAGUAGGGAAUCGGCCGCAAUGAGCGAAGGCCUGAGGGAGCAACGCGGCGUGAGUGAGGAGGGUCUUCGGAUCGGAGAACUCUGUUAUUAGGGAGGAAAGUAUGUGUAAGUAACUGGGCACAUCAUGACGGGAACUAAUUAGAAAGCCACGGCUAACUACGUG
rnacentral:rRNA from 1 species